GUCGUAACAAGGUUUCCGUAGGUGAACCUGCGGAAGGAUCAUUAGUGAAUUGAGCUGGCUUCGGCCGCUCUGAUCUAUACACACCUGUGAACUGUUGGCCUUCGGGUCUUUAAAUACAACUGUGACGAACGUAAAUUAUUAUAACAAAUAAAACUUUUAACAACGGAUCUCUUGGCUCUCGCAUCGAUGAAGAACGCAGCGAAAUGCGAUAAGUAAUGUGAAUUGCAGAAUUCAGUGAAUCAUCGAAUCUUUGAACGCACCUUGCGCCCGUUGGUAUUCCGACGGGCAUGCCUGUUUGAGUGUCGUGAACAACCUCAACCUUGAUUGGUUUUACCAUCAAGGCUUGGACUUGGGUGUUGCUGCUGCAAAGUGGCUCGCCUUAAAAUCAUUAGCUGGACUUGUCUAUGACUUGGUUCGACUCGAUGUAAUAAGUAUUCAUCGGGGACAGGGUAAAACCUGGCCAAGGCUUGAUGCCGUCUGCUUCUAAUCAUGUUCUCACUAUGAGACGCUACUUUACUGUGUGGCCUCAAAUCAGGUAGGAUUACCCGCUGAACUUAAGCAUAUCAAUAAGCGGAGGAAAAGAAACUAACAAGGAUUCCCCUAGUAACGGCGAGUGAAGCGGGAUGAGCUCAAAUUUGUAAUCUGGUGGACUCAGUUCAUCCGAGUUGUAAUCUAUAGAAGU
rnacentral:rRNA from 1 species